GGAGCGGGACAGACGGACAGACAGACCCGAGUAGGCAGUCAUGGUUUGAGUCGCGCUGCCCACUCUCUUGCCUCCUCUAACCCCUCCUCCCGGAGAACCCCAAGAUCAGAAUUGUCUUCGGGAUCUGAACGCCUCACCCCUCUGCUUUCGAGCUUCCUAUGGCUCCCCGGUACCUUGGGAAUGAACCCAGACCCCGGAGCUGUGGCUCUCAAGGCCCUGCAGGGUCUGGCUCCUGCCCCCCUCCCCCUCUAGUCCGCAUGUCCCUCCUCACUGCCUCACUGCCCCACAGCCCGUGGCCCCCUCCCCUUUCCCCACUGGGCUGCCCCCAGGGUCCACUCACGGCCUCUGCUCUCUCCCCAUCCCUCCUGCCCCAGAUAACUCUGGACUUCUCCUCCAAGGUCUCUUUAAAUAUCACUUGGGUUCACAGGGCUGAAUCGGACUGGCAACACUCCCUUCCUGAGCUCAAGGUUCAGAACAGGAGCCCGAUGACACACGAGCAAUGAAUGAAAGGAGAUGAGAUUUAAGGCCCUGGGUGGAAAAGCAAUGCCCGAUCUGAGCACUCUCCAAGCCAGACCCUGCUCAGAAUACUUCAUGUGCAUUUACUGCAUCUCGAUCCAGCCCUGAAAGGUGGGGGCCAGUACUGCCUUCACCCCUAUGAGCAGUGAAACCAGGCUGCUCACAGCUUGUCUGGGCAGAGUGGGGCUGUGAAACCACCAGGCUUCCAGGUGGUUCCGAACGGUGAGGAGAUGGAGCAAGCUGGGCAGGGCCUUUGGAUUGCGGUCCCCUCUGCCUGGAAUGUUCCCUGUCCGUUUUGUGAUGCUGUACUUAAUCAAGCUUCACCUUCCAGAAAGGGGUUGAAGGACACAAGUGAUGAUGAUGAGAUAAGACCGCUUUCGCCAGACCUCACCACUCUUGCAUCCCAUUACUGGCUCAGGCUACAAGAACAGCAUGAAUUUAAAAUAUGAAUAUAUAAGCACAUAAAACAAAUCCUGUGGUUUUCUUGUGAACCUCACACAUACACUGUUGUAAUUUUGUGGAGGAAUCUCAAAAAAUAGAAGUCUUCUAGUCUUCAAUACUUUGGCUACCUGGGGCAAAAAGCUGACUCACUGGAAAAGAUCCUGAUGCUGGGAAGGAUUGAAGGCAGGAGGAGAAGGGGACGACAGAGGAUGAGAUGGUUGGAUGGCAUCACUGACUCGAUGGACAUGAGUUUGAGCUGUAAGCUUCAUGAGCUCUGGGGCCUUGGCUCUUUUCCUUCAUCACUGUAGGCUCAGAGCCUAGCAAGGGGCUGGUGUACAGUAGACACUACAGAGAGAUUUGUUGGAGAACAAACAAGUGAAUCCAGACUCCUUAGUACUCCAACUGGACUAAGAAGCUCUGAAAUGCCCCGUGGAUUUUUCCUUCCAAGAAAUGCAGAUCUGACUUCCCACUGGGGUUGGGCAGUUUUUCUGCUGGCCACCUGCCCACGUCACUGCGGAAUGGUAUUUCUGCCUACCAGAAAAGGAAACGGAGACUCAGAGAAGUGAAGUCACUUGCCCGAUGACCCACAGCCACUGAGAGCGGAAGACAGCAUCCAAAACCUGGUCUUGUCCCCUCCUAUCCAAAAAGAGAUCCUCUAAGCACACUGGUAUUAGCAAUUUGCUGCGCAGACAGCCAUGCAGCUCGCCAGGACUCCCCAAAGGGCCAAGAUGACAGGAUAAGGCCUAAGGAGUGCCAAUAGCAGGAUCCCAGCUGUGAUAGUCAGUGCCCGUGCAGAAAAUGACAGCAUCCCAAGAGCUCUCAUCAGGAACCUAGGGAAGGUUAUUGGAUACAAAGUGUGGACUAGACAAAGAAUGAAAUACUACUCAGCUGUAAAAAAGGAAUGAAGUGCUGAUGCAUGCAAUGCCGCAAACCUCCAAAAUACUAUGCUCAAUGGAAGAAGCCAGACGCCAAAGGCCACGUACUGUCCCUACAGACUGAUGCAGGAGACGAUUCUCCACGGGUCACUCCAUGUCUGCCUGUCUUCCGAGCAAGAGACAAUGAGAGCCUUGUUCUGGACUCUCUUCUCAAGGAUGUCUAGCCAGCAGCCUUGGAAGAUAGAAAUAGUGCACCGAGAGUUGUUUCCCUAUCAGUAUAAUAAAGAUGAGGUCUCCUACCAGGGCAAAGGCUGAGCCGCUUUGCCAGCAGCUUUCUUAUAAAAUUGGGGUUUUCCUAAGCCCAGGGAUCCUCAGCUGUGACAAGUCCAGGUGGAGCAGCAGCCAUCUGGGGCACCUUGCAGGGCUCCCACGGAACCUGGGGGCAAAGAGGGCUGAUGGGAACAUGAAGUUCAUGCCGCCUGCUGGGCUGUAAUAGUCCUUUGUCUCUGACACAGCCAGCUCAUGUCUCCUGCCAGUAUCCACUCAACUGUGGCAGGCUCACUUGUUAGCUUGCAAGCCAAGUGAAAGCUCAGACCCUCCACAGUUCUCAACCAUCGGCGUUCACAUCACCCCCAUUUUACAGAUAAGGACUUUGAGACCCAGAGAAGGAAAGCUUGUCCAAGGUCACCCGGCUAGCAAAUGAACGGAGUUGCCCAGACAGACUGGGAAGGGCAGGAUAUCUGGGCAGGGGAUUGAUGAAGGUACCGCCCGGGAGUGACAGGAGCUGAAGGCUCUGAAGAUGCUCAGGAGGUCAUGCCUCUCAGUCUCCCAACCCCACACACCCCCAGAUGCUGCCUGUCCCCACAUCCGGCUGCCGGGGCUGAGCCGCCAAUUUGGGACGGCCGUGAUAUAUUUAACGGUGAGUCACGCUCUCCCCCAGCAAUCAGCAGUGGCAGGCUCGGGGAGGAUGCAGGGAGCAUCUCUGGGAAUCCAUGCCCGAGGGUCGCCAUGGCAACCCCACCAGGCUCGCUUGCCAGCAGCUAGGAUGCCAGUGCCUGAGUCAAGGCAGAAAAUAGUCUCAUAGGCCAAGUGCGGCCAAGGACAGGAGUGGGUCUGCCACAUGCUAUCACCAGUGGGUUCACCAGAGGUGGCUGCAGGAGUCCUGAGGACUUGGUGAUCAGAAGUCUCAUGGGCACGCUGGGGAGCUCAGAGUCCCCUACUGGAGGCCUGGUGUCCCUGGCCUGCUGGGAUGAGGGUACUAGUCGGGCACUCUGGUGAGCCCCGUCUCUUUCUGCCUGGUUCCUCUCCAUUUGUCUGUCUUUCUCAUACAUACCCACCCUCAUGAAGACCCCUCUCCAUCUGAGGCUUCUAAUCAAGCACCAUUAAAACAGCUCCAGACUGAUGGCAACCUGGCACUGUUAACCACAGACCAACGUCUUCCAGCAUAAUUCUGAAAGACUUCAGACCCUAAGACAAAGCAGCCACACCCACACUCCCACAGCAAAUAUGAAUAUUCCGGUGAGCAGUUUGGAGCCCAUUCAUUCAUUCAUUCAUUCAUCAAUUCGUUGUCUUCAUUGUUGAUUCUGAAUUAAAUUCAGGCUCCCACGGGCCCUGUAUGGAUAUGGACCUGGUUAUCACUCCUCAUCCCCUUCCCCUCUCCUGUCUUAUUCCACUCCAGCCCACAGCCUUGCUGCUAUGCCUCAGACACACCAGGCUCUUUCCUGUCUCAGGGCCUCUGCGUUUGCAGUUCUGACUUCCUGGAAAGUUCUUCGUCCAGAUUAACCACAACCUGAUUCCCUCACUCCCUUUAGGUCUUUGCACAAAUCUCAUCUCCUCAGAGAGAUACUGUCAAGACCACCCUAGGAGAGAGCACCCAACCCAGCCUCAAGGAUAAGGCCAAAUAUGUCUGUAUCACUUGUAACAGGGGUCCCCAACCUCUGGAAUUGAAUGCCUGAUGAUCGGAGGUGGAGCUUAUGUAAUAAUAACAGAAAUAAAGUACAUAAUAAAUGUAACGCACUUGAAUCAUCCCCAAACCAUCUCCCCAUUCCCCUGGUCUGUGGAAAAAUUGUGUCUCACAAAAGCGGCCCCUGGUGCCUAAAAGGUUGGAGACUAUUGACAUAUAACACUGUGACUUAGCUUCUUUUGUUUGUAACAAGGAAAGGGAAAUUGACAAU